rnacentral:rRNA from 1 species
UACGGAGGAGGCAAGCGUUAUCCGGGAUCAUUGGGCGUAAAGCGUCCGUAGGGUGCCAUUCAAGUCUGCUGUCAAAGCUCCUGGCUCAACCGGGAAAAGGCAGUGGAAACUAGAUGGCUAGAGGGCGAUAGGGGCAGAGGGAAUUCCCGGUGUAGCGGUGAAAUGCGUAGAGAUCGGGAGGAACACCAGUGGCGAAGGCGCGCUGCUGGGUCGCUCCUGACCCUGAGGUGCGAAAGCGUGGGGAGCAAACAGG